rnacentral:lncRNA from 1 species
AACUCAACUUCUGACCUCAAAAAAUAUCCCUGCCAAGGAUGUUAGACCUUGGAGAAAUUUAUGCCCCAGGGCAUUAUUGAAAACAAGAGAGUGAUUAUUAGUCAGCUAUUAGCGCAGCCUAAAAGCUACAGACGAUGCAAUCAGAGGUAGACAGCUUAACAGAGAGAUGAGAGAAAGAGACAAAGAGAACCCCGCUAAUCCAACUGGCAUCCCCAGAUGACCAUGUGCAUGCCCUAGGGUGCCCUCUCUGAGGAGUGAAGACAGGGCUUUUAAACUCUAGCUGAGCAGUGUUUCCUGGUAUAAGGUGACACUCAUGAGGAACAGACCAAGAGGAUCUGCAGACACUGGCCCUGGCACCACAGCACCGCUGGAGCAAAGCCAGCAGGCACCUGCAAGCAGACUUCUUGACACGUGAGAAAAAUAACCUCAUGCAACUUGCUGCCGUCCAAACACGGAGAUUAAUACAAAGUGCAGGGUUUUUUCUCCAAACAUCCUAAGACUCAGUUGGGGCCACUCAGGAUCUGUCAGCAGUGGUUUCAGAGAGCACAAGGGAGAACAGUAGCUGCAGCAGCAAGGUAGAAAAUGAGUGUGGAGCCGAAGUGCCAGACCACGAAACGGAGUCUUCCAGGUCUGCACCUGCUUCAGGGGCUGUUGACAGAGCCCCUGAUGGAUGUGUGGAGGAGUAGGUUCUGCCACUGGGUGACCUGUGUCAGAGUGGGAAGUCCUAGGAGGUGGAAAAGAGCAUCAUGCCUGGGCUGGUGAGGCUCACGAAGAGGCAAAAAUGGAGAAAUCACCUCUACUGGCUCCAUUCUCCAUACUGCUGGCGGUCUGGGACCUUAAGCCCCGCUGUGAUUCCAGGAUGAAGUCAGCCUAAUUCACAGGGUUCCGUAUGUUACUUCUUUUGCAGGUGUAACUGGAAGAAAGGAAGUGUGAAAUCAACAAGACGAAGAGAGAGUUUCACACUUCAAUCCUCAAAUCCUCGGCCUCUAUACCACAUAAUGCCUCUGGGUCAAAUCUCAGCAAACUGAUAAAUUGCCUUCCUUACUUCCAUGACUGGGCACCACUCUGUCCCUGCUCUUCUCAUUCAACUACAUACCACCUAAUAAGGAGAUGGGGAAUAAGCAAGGGGCCACCAGGAGGGUUCAUAGUAGGAGAGGAAAGGAGAAUUAGACAGUGGUGCAGAGAAGUGGCUGUGACCCUGAAGGUAAUGACAGACCACUAUUUUCCCUGAUUCCUACCUUGCACGAACCUUUCCAUGAGGAUGUGUGUAUUGUUUAUAUAUAUUUUUAAUUUUCUGUAUAUCAUAAUGUUUCUGCAUUUUAAAACCUUUCUGGCUAGGGAGAGACUGCCCCUUCUGUAGCUAAAGGACCGAGCCCAAAGCAUGCCUUUGAUUUGCAAAUUAACCAAUCUGAAUUUGGAUUUGGAACCAAUCAAAUUAACCAAUAUCAGCCCCGUGCACUCCAGGAGGCAAUAUGCCUUUGCCUUAAUCAUCCCAGGGCCAGGUACCAGGCAACUAGGGACCACCCAUACAGCUGGGAGCCCACUGAAAUCAUUCAAACUAGUCAGUCCUAAACUCUUUACCCUGCCACGCCUUGCCUUUCCCUUGGAACCCCCAAUAAAGGGUCUAGCCUCAGCUUUCCCAUCACUCUGCUCCUGCUUUCUGCCUCCUCACUACCCUGAGUCUUCCCCAGGUGGCUCCGUAUUGUGUGCCAGGGACCUGUGAGUAUAAUAAACUUUGUUUUCCCAAAUCUCUCCUGUGUCUCCUCUUGUGGCCACACCUGACUGACCAUCACAUAAAAGAACACAGAACAGCAUGAAAUGUUUUAAGUGUGCUCUGGACUAUUCAGAAAUAUCCAGAGAAUCAAUGACAAGGGACACAAAAGUGGAUUUUCUUUUAAUAUGGGGAUUUUUCAGCUGUCCUUUUCAUUUUAUUGAACUCACAUACCUGUCCAAGCACUGUCCUUGGCCCUUGGGGAUACAGGAAUGGAGAAGUCAUGGCUCUAUCCUUUAAGGAGCACACAGUCAACUGGAUAAGAUACUUAGAAACAAAUAAACACCCUUUGGGCAUCUGGUGCUGUAUGAGAGGUGGAGAAUGUUGGGGGCCCAAGAAGGGAGAGGUCAUGUCCCCUUGAGCAUCA